AAACUGGAACGGACUGGGGGAAUUUAUACUCAGAACAAAUUUGACGACACCAGCAAAACCUCAGAGAUCGGCAGGAAAGAUGCAAUUUACUGCGCGAAUUGCCGAUGUUGCUAUGGAUCCAUAUGGAUGCCGUAGAUUCGUAAAAUAGAAAUAAGAGUAGGAAAAUUGCAGUUUAGAACAUGAAGAACCAGAGAGAACUAAAUAUAUAUUCAUAACGUAACCAAUUCUUUUCUUUUUGUGAAGUUGAAAACUAAAGAUUUUACGCAACUCCACAAUCAGAAGUUACAUAGAGGUAGGGGUGGUGAUCUCGGAGGUCAUGCUACUGGAGCACUUAGGGCAUUCAUAUAAUUGGAAAGGUAUUGACCCAGAACCACUGUAUUCGCUUCUGAAAUGGGAAGGAAAUUAAGUUCCCAAUAUAGCCUUUAUCUCUCUUUCAUUGUCUGUAAAUACAUCCCAUUUUCAACUAUUGAUGUAGGCAAAAAUGUUUGAAUUGCCGAAUAAGAAUCGUUUAUUUUUCUGUUCUUUAUUUAAUUUCAAACAAAAUUUUAAUAAGUAUCAUGAUAAUCUCACUUAUUUACAAAAUAAUUUCAUAAUCUUUUUACACGCAAACUUGACAUCAAUGCAACUCCGAUGCAUAACGGCAGCAAUACUGAUUAUUCCUCAAAUUUGAGAUAAAAUCUCAAAGGGAGUCACAUUUGAGUCAAAGUUUUCACAAACGUUUCCCACCAUAGACAAAAUAAUACAAUUUAAUUAAUACAGUAAUCGGACUCACUGACUUUGUUUAUUUGAGGAUGGAAAAAUAAUUUGUUAAAGUAAGAAUUGAAUGAGUGAGAAAUACUCUCGAAGCAAUACAUUAAUUGCUAAAAUGUUGGUAUAUUAAUAACACCCGAAAAUUUAAAUAGAGUGAAAUGAUGGUUAUUACCAUAUUUC